UCAAAACUCCUGUUUUACCGGUGUUGUCUGAGCUACAAGCAACGAAUCAAAACUUUCAACAACGGAUCUCUUGGUUCUGGCAUCAAUGAAUAACCCAGCGAAAUGCUAUAAGUAGUGUGAAUUGCAAAAUUCAGUGAAUCAUCGAAUCUUUGAACGCACUUUGCGCCCCUUGGUAUCCCGAGGGGUAUGCCUGUUCGAGCGCCCUUUCACCACUCAAGCCUGGCUUGGUGUUGGGCGACGUCCCCCUUUAUGGACGCGCCUCGAAACGCUGGGCGUUUUGGCACCGGCUUUAAGCGUAGCACAAUCUUUCGCUUUGAAAGUCGGGGCCCCGUCUGCCGGAAGACCUACUCACAAGGUUGACCUCGGAUCAGGUAGGGAUACCCGUUGAACUUAAGCAUAUC
rnacentral:misc_RNA from 1 species